GGAAGUGUGUGUGGUUGGGAAGAAGGGUGUGGUGUGCCAUGCCCUCCUCCAUGCAAACACAGCAUCGAAAAAUAUUCUGAAGAAAAUUGUUAUGACUUCUUCUUGGUGUUGCUGUUUAUCAAAUCGUAAAUUAUCUGCAAGACCCAUUGUCAGAUUUAUAGCCGAGUGGGGGGACCUGUUCAACGACCAAGAGGGCCAAGAUUAUUUAUUAACGUCUCUGCCAUAUAUGACAUUAUUAGUUGUAAUGUCUAUAAUGAAACCAUUUGGAAAUAAAACCAAUUAUACAAGAGAA